AGAGUUUGAUCCUGGCUCAGGAUGAACGCUGGCGGCGUGCCUAACACAUGCAAGUCGAACGGACUUACAUUGAAGCCUAGCGAUAUGUAAGUUAGUGGCGGACGGGUGAGUAACGCGUGGGUAACCUGCCUUGUACUGGGGGACAACAGUUGGAAACGACUGCUAAUACCGCAUAAGCGCACAGCUUCGCAUGAAGCAGUGUGAAAAACUCCGGUGGUACAAGAUGGACCCGCGUCUGAUUAGCUGGUUGGUGAGGUAACGGCCACAAGGCAACGAUCAGUAGCCGGCCUGAGAGGGUGAACGGCCACAUUGGGACUGAGACACGGCCAAACUCUACGGAGCA
rnacentral:rRNA from 1 species